UACGUAGGGUGCAAGCGUUGUCCGGAAUUAUUGGGCGUAAAGAGCUCGUAGGCGGUCUGUCGCGUCUGGUGUGAAAAUCCAGGGCUUAACCCUGGACCUGCAUCGGGUACGGGCAGACUAGAGUGUGGUAGGGGAGAUCGGAAUUCCUGGUGUAGCGGUGGAAUGCGCAGAUAUCAGGAGGAACACCAAUGGCGAAGGCAGAUCUCUGGGCCGUAACUGACGCUGAGGAGCGAAAGCAUGGGGAGCGAACAGG
rnacentral:rRNA from 1 species